AUGGACCAGUACAGCUACGGCGGCGGCGACGGCGACCAGGCCGGCCAGGGCGGGUACGCGACGGUGACGUCGGCGCCGCCCAAGCGGCCGGCGGGGCGGACCAAGUUCCGGGAGACGCGCCACCCGGUGUACCGCGGCGUGCGCCGGCGCGGCGCGGCCGGGCGGUGGGUCUGCGAGGUGCGCGAGCCCAACAAGAAGUCCCGCAUCUGGCUCGGCACCUUCGCCAGCCCCGAGGCCGCCGCCCGCGCCCACGACGUCGCCGCGCUGGCCCUGCGCGGCCGCGCCGCCUGCCUCAACUUCGCCGACUCGGCCACGCUGCUCGCCGUCGACCCCGCCACGCUCCGCACCCCCGACGACAUCCGCGCCGCCGCCAUCGCGCUCGCCGAGACCGCCUGCCCCGCCGCGCCCGUGGCCGCCGAGGCGUCCGCGCCGGCGCCCGCGAUGAUGGCGAUGAUGCAAGAGCCCUCGGCGGUGGAGUAUGACGACUACCCGAUGCAGUACGGCGGCAUUGGGGACUUCGACCAGCAUUCGUACUACUACGACGGGUUGAGCGCCGGCGGCGGCGACUGGCAGAGCAGCUCGCACAUGGACGGAGCCGACGACGACUCAAACUGCGGCGGUGGGUACGGCGCCGGCGAGGUCCCACUUUGGAGCUACUGA
rnacentral:rRNA from 1 species